rnacentral:rRNA from 1 species
UACGUAGGGGGCAAGCGUUGUCCGGAUUUAUUGGGCGUAAAGAGCGUGUAGGCGGCCAGAUAGGUCCGUUGUGAAAACUGGAGGCUCAACCUUCAGAGGUCGACCGAAACCCCCUGGCUAGAGUCCGGGAGAGGAGAGUGGAAUUCCUGGUGUAGUGGUGAAAUGCGCAGAUAUCAGGAAGAACACCCGUGGCGAAAGCGGCUCUCUGGAACGGUACUGACGCUGAGACGCGAAAGCGUGGGGAGCGAACAGG